GGCUUUUAGAAUAUAAUUUAAAGUCUGGCCUGCCCACUGAUAAUUGAAGGGCCGCGGUAUUUUGACCGUGCAAAGGUAGCAUAAUCAUUAGUUUCUUAAUUAGAAGCUGGAAUGAAUGGUUGGAUGAAAAAAUUACUGUUUCAAUUUUAUUAAUUAUGAAUUUUAUUUUUAAGUAAAAAAGCUUAAAUUAAAUUAAAAGACGAGAAGACCCUAUAGAUUUUUAUAAAUUUAUUAGUUAGAAUUUUUAGAAAAAAUAUUUUUAAUUAGUAGUUUUAUUUGAUUGGGGUGAUUGAAAAAUUAAAAUAACUUUUUUAAGUUUGUUACAUUAUUAAUUGAAAUUGAUGAUCCAUUAUUUAUGAUUAAAAGAUUAAAUUACCUUAGGGAUAACAGCGUAAUUUUUUAUGAGAGUUCAAAUUGAAUAAAAAGUUUGCGACCUCGAUGUUGGAUUAAAAUUUAUUUUUGAUGCAGAAGUUGAUAAAUUAGGUCUGUUCGACCUUUAAAAUUUUACAUGA
rnacentral:rRNA from 1 species